GAUUAAUGCUAGCUGUACGCCUAACACAUGCAAGUCGUACGAGAUCACGCAGUAAGCUUGCUUAUAGCGUGUGACAGUGGCAGACGGGUGAGUAACACGUCGGAAUCUGCCCUCUACUCAGGGAUAAGCUCGAGAAAUCGAGUCUAAUACCGGAUGGUCCCGCAAGGGUAAAGCUUCGGCGGUAGAGGAAGAGCCUGCGUCCUAUCAGCUUGUUGGUGAGGUAAAAGCUCACCAAGGCUAUGACGGGUAAUUGGUCUGAGAGGACGACCAGUCACAAUGGGACUGAGAUACGGCCCAGACUCCUACGGGAGGCAGCAGCUAAGAAUCUUCCUCAAUGGGGGAAACCCUGAAGGAGCGACACUGCGUGCAGGAUGAAGGCCCUUUGGGUUGUAAACUGCUUUUGCAGGGGAGAAAUAACCGAAUGGGAUGAUAGUACUCUGCGAAUAAGUCCCGGCUAACUACGUG
rnacentral:rRNA from 1 species